CGGCGAACGGGUGAGUAAUGCUUGGGAAUCUGCCCAUUAGUGGGGAACAACCAGCCGAAAGGUUGGCUAAUACCGCAUACGCCCUACGGGGAAAGCGGGGGAUCGUAAGACCUCGCGCUAAUGGAUGAGCCCAAGUCGGAUUAGCUUGUUGGUAGGGUAACGGCCUACCAAGGCGACAAUCCGUAGCUGGUCUGAGAGGACGACCAGCCACACUGGGACUGAGACACGGCCCAG
rnacentral:rRNA from 1 species